AUGCCUUCCCUAGUCAAGGAUAAUAAAUGCUUAAGAUAUGAGUAUAACUUUUCUGUUGUAUAGCUAUGCAAGAGCAAGCUAUUCCCUUAUUAGAGUUUAUUUUGUUUAAAAGUUGGAUUUGCUUAUGCUCUUUGUGAACAUAAACCUAGUCUGAGAAUUUCUUAAAAUCUUCUCCCCUCUACCCUAGUUUUUCCUCUAGAAAAGUGGUUUGGCUUUUCUAACUUCCUUUAUAGUUCCUACUUUCUGGAUGUAGUAUCGCUGCUUAGUUGUGCAUUUAUUUAACAAAUAACAUUGGAGAGAUAAAGCCACACUCUGAAUAAGAUUAAGUCUUCAUGCAGCUUACAUUCUGGUGGAGGAUACAGGUGGUGUUUGGGCUGAGCCCAAAGGAUAGAGAAGAGUCAGCCUAGCAGAAGAACUGAAUGAAGAACUUUCAGGCUGAGAGAAUCGAUCAGUGCAAGCCCCUGAAACAGAAAAGAAGUCCCUCUGUGUGUUUCUCUAUAAACCUAUAAAAAAGGCUUUGAUGGA